UGCAUUUUCAAAUACAACAUAGCACACACAUUAGUAUCAAAUAUUUUAUGGUUUUUUUCAAGAGUUGGGAUUUUAAGAAGCAAUUUUGACAGUUAACUGAUGAAGUCUAUUUACUUUUAUGAUAUGUCUCUUGCAGGUAUUGUUAGGUAUAAUUACUCAAGUACAAACUAUGUUACAGGAGUUUGACACAAGACUUGGAUGGGUCAAAAAAAGAAUCCUUGGGUUGAAAUGGUAAGAAGCAACAAAUCAAAUAAGAUGUAUAUCAACCAACAUAGUUAUUGAGAAAAAGCCCUUGAGAAAUUCUAUUAGAAUGAGUAUAAAGUUGUGUCUACUCUUUUAGCACAACACUUCAAGUUGUCAUCUAGAAAUUGUCCGAAAGAGUAGAUUAGAACAUGAAGCCUUAGGUCUAUAGUACCCCAUUCCCAAGUGGUGGGGAAAGUCGUCAAACUUAACUUGUGUGAGUUGGUGUAUGACAAAUCUUAGCAAAAGAUUUAGAAAAGCAAAGAGUAAAAUAUUAUAAUUUAA